UACGGAGGGUGCAAGCGUUAUCCGGAUUCACUGGGUUUAAAGGGUGCGUAGGUGGGUUGGUAAGUCAGUGGUGAAAUCCCCGAGCUUAACUUGGGAACUGCCAUUGAUACUAUCAGUCUUGAAUACCGUGGAGGUCAGUGGAAUAUGUCAUGUAGCGGUGAAAUGCUUAGAUAUGACAUAGAACACCAAUUGCGAAGGCAGCUGGCUACACGAAUAUUGACACUGAGGCACGAAAGC
rnacentral:rRNA from 1 species